AGAAAUGAUGAACGUUAGAUUUUUUACAUUUAGUAAAAUGCUACAAAUGUAGUUUUUAGAAUACUUAGCAUUUUAAAAGGGCAUAUCUGCAUGGUACUUUGUAAACAUUAACUAAUUAAUCUUCUUAAUGUAAGAUGCUAUACUUGAUUUCAGCCCAAAGAAUUGUUAUAUAUUAAUGUUCCAUUCGUAUCCUGCCUAAAACGUGAAACAUUUAGCGACUGUCACAAGUUCUGCAGCUUCACUCUCAUUUUGAUCUUUUCAUAUGGAAAUUGCCAUUGAGACAGAGCUGUCCACCAUCAACAACCCUCAAUAUUUAUGAAGAAUCUCAGCUGUUCAUACUUCAGUAUAAAUGAAGGCAUCUUUGUUACGACCUGCCUGGUGUUUUAGAAUCUUCUUAUCUUCUCCACUGACCCUGACAUGGGGCAAACAGGAGGGAAUUUAAAAAGUCCUAGCUAACUUGGAUGAGCACUUUGUCAGUGGAUAACGUCUCUAUCUAGGUCUCAGCACUCCUGGUAUAUUCUGCUCCUCUUUGGACAUAUCAACAGAAAGAAACCUAGAGGUUUACUUGAUCAAGAACCUCAAUGAGUGAUGAUAACAUUUCCUGUUCUUCCAGACGCUUCUAAUUCUUCCUGUUGCCGCCUAUCUUCAACAGAAAAGCAACUGAUCAUGGAAGCAAGCAGGAGGAAUUAAGUUGAUGGAUCAAAGAAGACAUAAUAAUGGUAUUUAGAAAGUAAUGAAAACUAAAUUAUAACAACAACAACAACAACAACAAAAAGUACAAGUAUACCUCAGAGAUAUUGCUGGUUCAGUUCCAGACAAGCACAAUAAAGCAAAUAUCGCAAUAAACAUCUUCACCAGGAGUAGAUUCCAUCUCAAGAAACCACUUUCUUUGCUCAUCCCUAAGAAGCAGCUCCUCAUCUGUUCAAGUUUUGUCAUGAGAUUGCAGCACUUCAGUCACAUCUUCAGGCUCCAUUUCUAGCUCUCUUGCUAUUUCUACCACAUCUGCAGAAAUUCUACCUCUAUGAAUUUCCCGAAGGAAAAAGACACAAGUCCAAAAGGAACUUUGACUUAAUUUUCCACAAGAACAGACUUGAUUUCUCUUAUCUUUGCAAUGUGGAACUUCAGAGAUGAUUGUUGAAGGAGGAAGAGAAUAAUGAUAAAUACAGGUGGGUAUUAAAU